UACGGAGGUGGCAAGCGUUAUUCGGAAUCAUUGGGCGUAAAGGGCGCGUAGGCGGCUUCAUAAGUCUUGGGUGAAAGCCCUCGGCUCAACCGAGGAAUUGCCUUGGAUACUGUGAAGCUCGAGGCUGGAAGAGGGAAGCGGAAUUCCCGGUGUAGUGGUGAAAUGCGUAGAUAUCGGGAGGAACACCAGUGGCGAAGGCGGCUUUCUGGUCUGCUCUUGACGCUGAGGCGCGAAAGCUAGGGUAGCAAACGGG
rnacentral:rRNA from 1 species